ensembl:lncRNA
AAGAAGUUCCCCCACUGAGUGGAAAUGGUUAGGCCUUGCUCAGUGGUUGACUGGGGACCCCUCUGAGAAAAGCAUAGGAUGAAAACCUGAAGCUGUCUGAAGAUGCAAACAGCUGGGGACUGUCAGCUAACCACCCUCCCUGGAGCUGAGGAGUGAGUCCUUUCUUGAAGGAGGAUCUGAUUGGCGCAUCUCCACAUCUGCCACAGUUUACCUUGUGUCCCGUGUGGCUCCACUUCAUAGCACAGUUGUGGAGCAGCUCUUCUGGGGUUCUGGUGGGCCUCUCUUCCUGAGGGGAAACUUAAAAGAGGGAAUUUAGAGAGAUGAACUAUAGCCCCCAUGGCUACAGGUGGUCUCAUAACCACAACUGAUACUCAUUGUCUCUCUCCUCCACUAACUGUUCGAAAGUCCCUCACUCUCUGCUGGCCUCAGUGGCUCACAUGGUGGUGUUUCCCAAACCAUCCUUCCUGAGGGGCCUGAAUUCCUGGUAAUCUUACCCGUGUCUAGGCUCCAUUACUACAUCACUACAUUUGUCACAAUUAGGCAAGAGCCUUCCAAGAGGCACCCAAGUGGGUCAACUGAGUUCCAUGGACGUUCCUCCCUGCUCCCAUCAUGUAACAGCAGCUCUGCCUGCUCCUGCUGAUCAAGGUCAAUUACCCCUGACAGAAGUGGUUCCUCUUCUUGCCUCCUGGUUCCUGGCCGCACAGAGCCCGGAGUGUCCAAGUGGAGCUGUAGCUUAUUGUUCAAUGGGAUUUUUGCCAUCCUCUGCCAAAAACACACCCUUUCUGGGGACCAGGACCUCUAACCCUGCAGAAUCCAGAGCUGUGGGGACCCCUAGUGAGUCACUGAAAGUGAUGGUAAGUGAGGCCACUCCUGCUUCCCUCCCUUGGUUCCUGGAUCCAUGAGUUUUCCCUCUUGGAGACAUAGUGCCAUAUAAAGUUCUGUAAUUCAGCAUGUAUCCACAUCCUUAAGGAUGGUACUCGCAUCCUUGCAGAGUGUGGCAUUUGAGCUGGUGCUUCAGCUGUACCUUCAGCACACCAUACCAACUGUAUUUAGCCAGCAGCUUUUAAAUGACACAGUCUAUGACAUGGCCAGUGGGUCUCUAAAAUGGAUUCCCUUGCUGGAUACUAAGUUGUUUCGUGUCUGUAGAUCAGGCAUUCUGUAAGUGGCUUGAUAGUGGUGCUAGCUGAGGCACUGCAGGCAGAAGGGCAAACCCAUACUCAGAUUAAGUAUCUAUUCCUGUGAGAAAAAUCUUUGGCUCUUCUAGGAUGAAAGGAGCUUUUGCUACCAAGUGACCGGUUAAUCUCCUUAAGGAGUAGUGCCAUCCAUACUAGGGGCUCAUUAUUGCUGUCCGUUGCUGGCAGGUUGAACAUUCAAAGCAGGCAAUCAUUAGAUUGGCCUUUCUAAGUGGGAGUCUGUGUUUUUUUGAUCCAUGCAAAGCCUCCAUCUCUGCCACUGUGGCCAUGUCAUCUGUUUACCUAUCAUGUCAGUGAAUGACAACUGGUCAAGUUAUUUUGCCCUCUUGGUUAUUUGAUGCCCAUGCUAUGUGGGUGCUUUUGGGUGGGCAUUAAUAUACAAUACAAAAAUCUUCACACCUUGUGCCUACUCUCGUAUGUUCAUCUACAUGUCUCUUCUCCAGACCUCUUUGUCCCAGGUAUUCUAAUUUUUCUCCUUCCAGCCCAUGACCAUUCACCAUUGUCCAUGAGUCCAUGUACGUUUUGACUUUUGGCCACUUGUUUCACACAAAGUGGGUGACCAGCUGCACCUCCAGAAGCUCUGCCCGUUGGGAAGAUCUGUCUUUCAAACAGUUCUCAUUACUGUCUUUCAAAGCCAAUCGUGAGUAAGGUUAUAAUGCAGACAGCAUCCACUUUUGGUUUGAGUAAGGCUAUAAUGCAGACAACAUCCACUUUUGGUUUUCACCCACAUACCAAAUCAACCCAUCUGUAAACCAAGCUAGGAGUUUUUCUUCUUCCUUCAGCUGGUUGGAUGGGAGGCCCAUAUGGUCUUCACUGUGAGCUGAGGAGGGACACUGCUACACAAUGGAAGCCACGAUGGGACAUGAUGGAUGCCAUGGGAUUCUGGACCCACUGCUCAUGCUUCUUGUAAUGUGAUCUCUUCCUGCUCAUGCUCAGUCCCAGAUGUACCAUUUCCAUCUUAUGAUGGAUUGCUACUGGGCCUAUCUUACUUUAUGACUGUUCCCAACUCACGAUGAGCAAUUCCAGAGUCAGGAUCACUUGGUAUCCCAACGUCAAGCGUUCCAGCUCUAUCAGGGCCCAUUAGCAUGCUAGGAGCUGUUUAACAAAAGAUAUUUAAUCCUCUGCUGCAUAUGGUGUGACCUUGCUCCAUCACCCCAGAAGCCUGGGUUGUGAUUCUUACACUGGGCCUUGCCAUAAACUUCACACCGUAUCUUUUUCUACUACUGAUAUCUCAAAUAUCAUAGAAUGUGCUGAGAUUUUUGUUCUUGCAGCCAGCACCUGCUGCAGAGCGAUUCUCUCCCCUGAGCCCUACUCAAAGCUGGCACCUUCCAUAUGGGCUGGAGCAGUUUUCCUAUGUGUGGAAUGUGUUGCUUCCAAAGCCCAAGGUGGCUUAACAGUCAUUGUGCUUCCUUCAUUUUAGUAGUGGAUACGUGAUGCAGCAAUCUGUCCUUUACUUUGAAGGGAAUGUCCUGGCAUGUACCUGACCAUGGGCUGUAGAGAAACUUUACUGAGUUGCCAAUUACUUGAAUUUUCUGGAGUUCAUCUCCCUCCUUCUGGAGUGCAUGUGUCUUACCAAGGUCUCUAGCGUGCCAGCACUCUUACUCAUGUUGCCAGAUCAGCACGAUGUCAUCAUUGUAAUGAAUCAAUACCAUGUUCUGCAGUAUGUCCAGAUGGUCCAGAUGUCUUCAAGCUAAAAUGUUACAGAUGGCAGAAGAGUUAAUAUGGCCCUGGAGCAAACUGUUUCUGAUCUGCUUUCCUGGCUGGGAUAGAAAAGUACACAUUCACCAAAUCAAUGGCUGCAUAUUACAUACCAGAGACCAUAUUAUGUGCUCUAGCAAAGAAACUAUGUCUGGCUAGGCAGCCGCGACCUAGCUGUGGCUAGGUGAUUUCUUGGUUAAGCUAGCAAUAGUCUGCAGGAUCUAUCUGGCUUCUGCAAGGACCAGACCAGCAAAGUGAACAGAGAUGUUCUGGGGCCACCAUGCCUGCCUCUUUAAGAGUGGCACUAAUCCCGGCCAUCCCUCUCCAGGGUUGUACUGUUUUCGAUGCACUAUUUUGUUGGAGGAGGCAGUUUCAGAGGCUUCCACUUGACGUUCCCCACUAUGACGGCUCUCACCAAUAGGCCCAGUGUGUGGGUUACUUCACCUGCCACAUGUCAGUCCCAAGUAUAUAUUCGGUGACCAGGGAAAUGAGUACCAGGGUCCUUCACACUGGCAUUUAGUCAUCUCUUCAGUCAACGGGCACCAGGUCUGAAAAUUGAAAACUGGUUCAGGUCCAGAAACUGGGCAAGAGAGUUUUUUGGGGUAACUUCCCUCAAGCUUCCACUCAUCCACUCUUGCUCUGUUUUGAUUGUAUAUAUUAAGCAGUGCCUUUUGGCUGCUCGGCUAUUUUUCCCUUAAGGAUGCAGUGUUCUAUUAAACAUCCCUUAACUGUGGACACCGUGACCUCCGGCUUCUGUUGGUAAAAUGCUACCACUGGCCUCUUGCUCCAGGGCCUUCUCAUCACCUUUGCUAUCAGUGAGUCAGAUUCUGUUGACCGCUUCUCCUGCCUUUAGCCCUGGCCUGCAGAGGAGAGCCACACUGAACUUCACAGGGGGCUGGGGCCCCUCUCUCCAGCACAUUUCUAAUGCCCUUGGUGAACGGCGCAUCCUUUCGGCCUCCCUGGGAAACACGUGUCUCUGGCCUCAUGUAACAUCCAUUCUGACAUUCCCACUUCCCCGAGUCUUACUCUCUUCCUCUUCUGUACCACGGCAAUUCAAGCUUUUCAAUUCAGGCUGUCUGAGGGCUGUUGUUUUUUCCAGAUUUCUAAGAGUCAUCCUAGCCGCAAGUUUUCAACAUCCCCUAGGAUCCUAGCUUGGAUGUUAAAUUCUCUUGUUUCUAGAGAGUGACCUCCAAGUCAAUAAAUAAUGUUCUCACUCACAGCUUUUCAUUAUCAGUCUGUAGGGUGACAAUGCAACUUCAUAACAACACUCCAAUUCCAUUAUCCUUAUGCUUAUCAUUCCUCUUACAUUUCAAAUCCCUAAAUCAUUGCACCAGCCAGAGCAUUCCUCUCCACUGGUGCAUUGUCCUAACUCACCACCAGUGAAAAUUUUAGAAACAGGACUCUGACCUUUUGCCAGGGGCUCUCUGCGCUCUACCCAUCACUCAGAAUUGGGUGCCUGUUGCUAGCCAGGUGGUGAGUGAUCCAGUCGCUCAAUCCCAUCUUACUGCCUGCUUUCUCAGACUAUUUCUGGUACCAACUGUGCCACCAGGGCUCUCUGGGAGGCAGACACAGAGAGGGAGUGAGGAGAGUAAAAGGUUUAUGGAAAGGAGCACCUAUGAAAGAAAAAGGGAGGAGGCAGUAUGGGCAGAGGAGCAUCAGCCUGGAAUCUCUGCCAGCCCGAUGGGGAACUGGAAGCAGUGACUGUUGGGGGAGGUGUACGUUGGGUAGAAGUGACAAGGCCCUGGUACCACGGCUUUGCUCAGUCAUCAGGUAGGAGCCAGCCAAGAAGAAUGUGAUCUUGGUUACCAUUGUCACAGUCGAUCAUAGGCGGGGGGCCACCUUGACAAGUGUCUGACCUAGGCUCAAAAGCUGAGGUGAAUUCUGAAGGUGCUAUUGGCUGAGGGUGUCAGCUCAGCCCACUCUUUGCAGCUAGGUAGCAAGGACUUUCUUGAAGGGGGAUCUGAGUAGUGUAUGUUCAUGACUACUCUUUUUAGUAUUUCACAUUACAUCACUUAUGGCCAAGUAUCCUUGUUUCACAACUCUCAAGUGGUGAGAGUGAGGAAAAAGGAAGAAACAAGGCAGGGAAAGAUGUGAAGCUCUGCAAAGUGACGCCUGACUGCACUGGCCCCACAUUCUCCCUCAGCAAGAGGGGCUUCUCCAGAAGGGAGGCAAGAAAACACCGUGCUCAGUGAAGUCACAGGAAUGGGGAAAGUAGGGGGAAUGUGUCUGCCCAGGUCCUUCCCGUGUCUCAUUUCCCAAAAGUCAAGUUUCACCGCAAGGGGAGCUCACAUUUCCAGGCCGCAUCAUUCAGCCCUUCAGGAAGCCAGUCUGGACCCUGCACUGUGGUGUUUCAACCAAGCCUGGAAACGGAGGGCGACUUGGCACUGAUAUUUCAACCACCACCAACAGACAGGAGCAAGCCACACAGCUCUGCAAAGGCAGCAGUGGUAGGUGGGCUGGGAUACAGGCAGUGUCUUCAGAAAGAAAGGCAGAGGGGCCGGCCCAGUGGCACAGUGGUUAAGUUCGCGUGUUCCGCUUUGGUGGCCCAGGGUUUACCGGUUUGGAUCCCAGGUACAGACAUGGCACCACUUGGUGAGCCAUGCUGUGGCAGGCGCCCCACAUAUAAAGUAGAGGAAGAUGGGCACGGAUGUUAGCUCAGGGCCAGUCUUCCUCAGCAAAAAGAGGAGGAUUGGCAGCAGAUGUUAGCUCGGGGGUAAUCUUCCCCAAAAAACCCCCCAAAAAAGAACAAAAAAAAAGAAAGAAAGGUGGGUGAGGAGAGCUGAGAAGGUACACAAAGUUUAGUCUGAUAAAAAUCUAGUGUUUGACAGUGCCUAAGUAGCAUGCUUAAUUAAGGACUUCAAUAUUUCUUUAAAACUUAAAAAAACUUUCUUAAGUGUUAUUGUAACAGCAACAUGUGUUUAUUGUAGAUAAACUUGAAACUGGAGAUAAACUGAAACAAAAAACUUUAAAUACUACCUGGAGAUACCAUUUUUAUAUCUUUUUCUAUGCUUAUUUACAAAAACAAGAUCCACUAUAAAUACUGUUUUGAAAACUAUCUUUUUAACCUAAUAAUGUGUCUUGAAGAUGUUAAUAAAUAUACAUCUAAUACCAUUUUUAAAGAAUCUUUAUAUCCUAAAUCUUUGAGCACACACUUCAUUAUUUCUCUUUUCAUUUUAAUGUCCUAUCUAGGGAAUCCUUGGAAGCUCAUACACUUAACCACUGUUACUUAAGAUUCUCCAAGAAGCAGAUACAAGAUGGGAUUAGAUGUGCAAGAGAUUUUAGGGGGAAAAACUAAUGAGGGAAAAUGAGGAGGAAGCCAGAGCAAGAGGAAGUGCUGGCAGAUUGUGAAGGAGAGGGCGAAGAAAGGAGUCUCAAUGGAAAGCAUGUUAGAGUGCACGCAGUCUAAGAAAGUUUUUGCUAGGCCACUGGGGAGUCCUCCAGCCAGUGUUACCUGUCGGAGCAGUUUCGUGUCUCACAGCACGGGCUUGCCUGUCUCCCUGGCCCCACUCAGUCACUGGCCCAGAGCAGCCUGUGGGAAGUGUAGUGAUUCAUAAUGCGGCAGCCCUGGCGUCAGCGUUAUGCUCAGCAAUCUGGGAGGCACAUUCUCAUGGCUUCCACAAACACCAUCUGUGCUUUAAAAAAAACUUGGUGCUAUUCAUUCAUUGAUUCAUGACACAUCGAGGGCACAAAUAUGAAUACAAUGUGGUGCUCACACUCUAGUAAUUGGCUUCAGUUUGAGUGGAUCAUCACGAAUAGUUUUUCAGAAAUUAGAAACAGAAAUAGAUUUCCAGAACCUCCUGAGGCAGAUCUUCAGGGCGUGGCUUCAUUAUUUUGUUUGAAAUGAUUUUUCAGAUUCUGAAGUAAAUUCUAAGUUAAAUACUGAAUGGGGUUUGGGUUCUUCCUUGUUCGGUAGCACUCAUUCCUGUAUUCAUUUUACCUGACGCAGAAAAUCGGGAUGAGUUUAACUGAAUAAGUUAAAAUCUAGAAUGUGAAAUAGUAACUGCAUUUCUAAAAAAUGUUUUUUGAGAGAGGGAAAAAUGUACACAUCCCCAAGUACACAUUUUUCCCAUCCACGUAUCCCUUAUUUUAUAUAUAUGGUUUGUAUUCGUUUUCUAGGGCUGCUGUAACAGAUUACCACAAACUUCAUGACUUACAACAACACAAAUUUAUUAUCUUAUGGUUCUGAAGAUCAGAAGUCUGAAAUGAGUCUCACUGGACUGAAGUCAAGGUGUCCACAGAACUGUGUCCCUUCUGAACACUCUAGGGGAAAAUCCAUUUCCCUGCCUUCUCCAGUUUCUAGAAGGUACCCACAUUCAUAAGUGGGUAGCCGUCUUCCUCUGUCUUCUCAGCCAGCAGUAGUGGGUCGAAUUCUUCUCACAGCACAUCACAUUUCUUCUUAGAGACAGAUCUUGCUUCUAUUGUGUCGUAUCAAUUUCUUUAACUCUUCUAGCUUCUUCUUCCACUUUGAAGGACCCUCGUGAUUACGUUGGGCCCACUAGGAUCAGCCAGGAUAAUCUUAUUUUUAGGUCCACUGAUUAGCAACCUUUAUGCUGUCUGCAGCCUUAGUUACCCUUUGCCAUGUACCCUCACACGUUCACAGGUUUCAGAGACGAGCACAGGGACAUCUUUGGGGAAGCAUUAUUCCACCUACCACAGGUCUUCUAGCUGAGGUCUCCAAAACAGUAUUGAUUAGAAACAGUUCUGGUGUUUAUCAGUCUUCUUCUGGACGUUCAUGGGAAUGAUUCUAAAGAUUAAUCAUCCUUAGGAUACUUUUCAUAGUUUUUGGUAGCUAUACGUUAUCAUAUUAAGGAAGUUAUCUUCUAUUCCUGUGGUCCUCUUGUAUGUUACUCUGUAAUAACCACCCCAAAACUUAAUGAUUUAGAACAACACUUUAUUAUUAUGUCUCUGUGGUUUAACUGGGCUUAGUUGGGUGGUUCUUACUUGGGGCUUGAUGAGGUUGGAUGUCCAAUAUAAUUACUUCACUCAUGUGUCUGGGGCUUCUGUGCUCCUCCGUGUGACCCCCCCCCACACACACACACAGUAGUUUGUAGCAUGUAUCAAGAUAAUCACAUUUUUCUUCUUUAAUCUGUUAAUGUUGGCAGAGUUUAAUGUACUGGUUGUUUACUAAGAUAUGCCCUUGGGAUCAAGACCUGUGGAAGGAAGAGGAGGAGGCAGUUGUGGGGAGAGGGAGGCACAAGUUGCAGUGGGGGCCCAACAUCCCUGACUCCAUGGGGAGCUCUGUAGCUGAGUUGCUCUCACAGUGGGCCAGGUGUUUAUGCAUUCACCCAGUCAUUGGAUGGCAGGUGUCCCUGGAAGGGUAUGACCUUGGAUGAAGCUGAAGCAACUCCCUAAAGGGGCUGAAGGCUGAAUGAAGGUUGUACACUGACAGCACUCUCAGCAGCUGAGGCAACAAGCCCUUCCCUGGGGGAAGAUCUGGACCAUGCCUCGCCAUGUCUCUGCCACAAGGUUCGUAGUAGUAGUGUUUAUAAUAGUAAAAACUGGGAACAACCUAAAUCUCCAUUACAUAGUAAUCAGUGAACAAGUAGUAUAGUCAUAUGAUCAAAAAAUGUACAGCAAUGAAAAUGAAUGAACUAACACUAUGUUUGUCAAGAACUAGUUACCAUCUAUCAGCAUGGUUCAAUCUCAGAAACAUGAUGUUAAGUGGAAAAGCACCUACAGAAAAAAGCAUGUAUGUCAUAUCUAUACAAUUUAAGAGCAUUCAAAACACGAGUACAUAUUGUUUAUGGAUCACAAACAUAUAGGAAAAGUAUUAAAAUAUUCAUGGGAAUUACAACCGCUAAAUUCUUCAUAGUGUCUAGGAAGGGAAGGUGGGGACUAGGAUCAGAGAAAGGGGUGCAGGGUGCUACAAAUGCAUCUGUAAAUUUUGUGGGGGGGUUUUGUAUGCUUUUCGGUGAGGAAGAUUAGCCCUGAGCUCACAUCUGUUGCCAGUCUUCUUUUUUUUUUCCUCCCCAAAGCCCCAGUACAUAGUUGUAUAUUCUAGUUGUAGGUCAUUCUAGUUCUUCUAUAUGGGAUGCUGCCACAGCAUGGCUUGAUGAGCAGUGUGUAGGUCUGCACCCAGGAUCCGAAUUGGCAAACUCUGGGCCGCAGAAGCAGAACGUGCGAACUUGACUGCUUGGCUGUGGGGCUGGCCCCUCAAUUUUGUUUCUUUAAAAAAUGUCUGAAUUAAUAUGGUGUUAUAGCAUAGUGCUAAUAUAUGAUGAAAUUUGGUCUCAAGUACAUGAGUGUUUAUUAUAUGACUUUAUUUUUUCCUGUAUUUUAAAAAUAUUUCAUAAUAGAAUUGAUAAUUUCUUUAAAAUACCAUGCAGUCAUUAAAACAAAAUUAAUUACACAUAUUAACAUGGAUAUAUUUCAAAAGUGAUGUUAGGUGAAAAAAGUUGCAGUGGGGUAUAUACAGUGUGAUGCCAUUUCAAUUUUUAAAUAAGGAAAUGACAUUCUAUAUUAUUUAUAGCUUUAUACUUAUGUGGUAGAAAUAUUUUAAAAUGUAAGAUCCAAAUAGUUUCUCCUUUGAGGAGAGAGGGAGAUGAAUGGGACUGGGGAGAGAGACAAGAGAAUUUCCAGAUAUUCACAUUGGCUAAAUCUGGGUGUUGAGUUCAUGGGUGUUUAUUAUAUUACUCUCUGUGCUUUGUGGUAUGUUUGAGAUAGUUGAUAGUCUUAAAGAGAUUAAAUAUUCCAUUCUGAUUGGUCUUUCCCUCUGUUUAUAAUGAAAGCAACCACAUAAGUACAUGCCAUCGCUUGGUUGGCAUGGAAAGGAAAGGAAAAGAAUGUCUUCUAUCAAUCUGCAAGUGCCAAUUUUUCUAGUAUAUCCUUUGCUGCACCCACUUUUUCCAAAACACUGACUUGAUGUCACUGAUUAAAAACUACAUGCUCAUGUGCCCACUUAUUUAUUUUUUUUAAGAUUUUAUUUUUCCUUUUUUCUCCCAAAGCCCCCCGGUACAUAGUUGUGUAUUUUUAGUUGUGGGUCCUUCUAGUUGUGGCAUGUGGGACGCCGCCUCAGCGUGGCUUGAUAAGCGGUGCCGUGUCCGCGCCCAGGAUCCAAACCAACAAAACCCUGGGCCGCUGAAGCGGAGCGUAUGAACUUAGCCACUCGGCCACGGGGCCAGCCCCAUGCCCACUUAUUUUUGUGGGUGUUAAACUGCGUUGCUGCCGUGGGAGAACGUUGGAGUGCUCAGGCACAGGAAGUUAAAGGAUUACGCACAGCGGUUAAUUCUGCUGCAGGCAAGUCCUAGAUUCUACCCUCUCCUCCUCCCCAUGAAAAAAUCCAGAUUUUAAAUGAUUUUCUGGAGAAAGUAUAUUAAGCUGUAACUAUUUCCAUGCCUCCAUACUAUUCUCUGAUCUUCCUUAGUUCACAUGUCUCUGUUUUGCAUAGUUGCCAGCCCUACACGGGGAUUUUGUUGUUGUCUUUUUAUUUAACCGCAGCUAACAUUUCUGUGUACCACCUCGUCCACACACUGGUCACUGUUCCAUAGUUUUCCGUCUUGAUACUGCACCACAGUUUACUUCGCCUGACCACUAUUGUUGAACUUUUGAGAUUUUUCCAGCUCUCCAGUUAUUAUAAAUAGCAUUUCUAUGACCAUCUUUGUACAAACUACUUCUUUUCUUUCUGGUCAUUUCCUUGAGGGUAUAAUCCUCAAGUGGAAUUAGGCCAAAGGGCAUGAAUAGUUUUGUGAUUCUAAGUUCAUAUUCCAAUCUUAUAUUGAUUUACCUUAACCCAACAAUAUUGGGUUUACACAUUUUAAUAUAAUUUUUAAAAUUUAGUAGAUAUAUAAUGAUUGUUAAAAGUUAGUUAAAAAUUCCCUCAGAUGCUUUCUUUGUUUUUUAAAGAUUGGCACCUGGGCUAACAUCUGUUGCCAAUCUUCCUUU